ACUAGGUGGAGCCUCCUGUCCAGGAACUGCAGACUGAGAUAUCAUUAGCUUGCCUGGGAAGAUUCCUGAGACCUGUGGAUGGACGACUUGAUGUGUGGAUGGGCGUUCUUCAAAACUGCCAGGGAUUCAAGCUACAGGACUGCUUCUCCAAUCAGCUGAUGAGGAUUUUCCCGCCGCUUGUGCAACUGGCCAAUCAUCUUCCUGAGAUCUGACAGCUGUCAACAUCCAACAUAAAACCAGGACAGAAAAGAUGGCUUUGGAAAGAAAUCGCACAAAAACCCCCGCCAUCCGCACUGCUUUCUCUUUGAAAGAAAAAACCUGCUGGACGUGAUUCCAAGUUCUACUAUUCAUGUGAUCUGUGUACAGAGGUGAGACCUAAGCACGGAUGCAUCAUACCGCUCCAGUCCACACCCUUAAUGAGCAAGCAGGAUGACUAAGACUGCAGGCGGCAAGAUAAAAAAGUAAUCUGGACAGUCCUUUUGUAAUUUUCCCUUAUAAGGAAGAAUUCUCAAGCGGCAGAUUGUUUGCAGAAUUCUCUGCACAUG